rnacentral:lncRNA from 1 species
AGAGAACUUUGGCAAAGUUAUCUGUGGUACCCAUGAGCUAGUGUUGCGUGUGGGAAGUGGGUGAUUGAACAGUAAGAUUCAUGUGUUUUCUACUUCCUCAGAAGUCUUCGACAGAAUGCCCAUAAUUUCCGCAAAGCUGAGUGUGCGUGUGACAGGUGCUGACAAGGCUGGAAAAGUAGGUGCCUCUUCGAUUUCUGAGAUCGGCCCUCGUGGUCUCUGAGGAGCCCAGCUUUUGAGAAAGCGAGCGCCUCUUCGAUUUCUGAGAUCGGCCUUCGUGGUCUUUGAGCAGCCUAACUUUUGAGAAAGCAAACGCCUCUUCGAUUUCUGAGAUCAACCCUCGUGGUCUCUAAGCAGCCCAGCUUUUGAGAAAGCAAACGCCUCUUCGAUUUCUGAGCAGGCGCCUCUUCGAUUUCUGAAGAUCCGUCGAGUGCAGAUUUUUAUAGGGGCUGGCAUUAAGUUCCAAAGCACACUUGAAUCUCCACCAGUAGAAGCUCCAUUCUUGCACUUCUAAGAUCUUGAUUUGUCCAACCUCUUCUCUCUUCAACACCUUUGAAAAUGUCUGGCCCCUCC